GAUGAAGAACGUAGCGAAAUGCGAUAAGUAAUGUGAAUUGCAGAAUUCAGUGAAUCAUCGAAUCUUUGAACGCUCAUUGCGACCGCUAGUAUUCUGGCGGGCAUGCCUGUCCGAGCGUCAUUUCAACCCUCAAGCCCCCGGGCUUGGUGUUGGGGAUCGGCGAGCCUCCGCGCCCGCCGUCCCCUAAAUCUAGUGGCGGUCUCGCUGUAGCUUCCUCUGCGUAGUAGCACACCUCGCUCUGGGAAACAGCGCGGCCACGCCGUUAAACCCCCAACUUCUGAACGUUUGACCUCGGAUCAGGUAGGAAUACCCGCUGAACUUAAGCAUAUCAAUAAGCGGAGGA
rnacentral:misc_RNA from 1 species